rnacentral:rRNA from 1 species
UACGUAGGUGGCAAGCGUUGUCCGGAUUUACUGGGCGUAAAGAGCGCGCAGGCGGUUGUGCAAGUCGCGUGUGAAAGCCCCCGGCUCAACUGGGGAGGGUCACGCGAUACUGUUCGACUUGAAGGCAGGAGAGGGAAGUGGAAUUCCCGGUGUAGUGGUGAAAUGCGUAGAUAUCGUGAGGAACACCAGAGGCGAAGGCGACUUCCUGGACAAUUGCUGACGCUCAGGCACGAAAGCGUGGGGAGCAAAAGGG